UACAGAGGUCCCAAGCGUUGUUCGGAUUCACUGGGCGUAAAGGGUGCGUAGGUGGUGAGGUAAGUCCGAUGUGAAAGCUCCGAGCUCAACUCGGAAAUUGCAUUAGAAACUACCUUGCUAGAGGGUUGGAGGGGGGACUGGAAUUCUCGGUGUAGCAGUGAAAUGCGUAGAUAUCGAGAGGAACACCAGUGGCGAAGGCGAGUCCCUGGACAACUCCUGACACUGAGGCACGAAAGCUAGGGGAGCAAACGGG
rnacentral:rRNA from 1 species